GUGGAGAGACGAGCUGGAGUGGUGUACUCACAGUAAAAGAGAGUGGCGGUCUCUCUGUACCCCCGGUUUCAGAGCCCUACCAGCUGCCCGGUCCACCCCAGAAGCCCGUCGUAACUGAUGUGACCCGUAACAGCGUGACCCUGACCUGGCAACCAAACGCACAUGAAGGCGGAGCGGCUGUCACCUCUUACAUCAUUGAGGCUUUCAGCGUCGCUGGUCAGCCGUGACAGAUGGGGUAAUACCACCGAGUGGCUGCCCCGUCCCUGACCCCUUUCCCCCGCUCUACUGCUCGUCACAGUCAUGCGAGGGCAACUACAUGCUGUGCUUACAUCUCACAUCCUGCCUGCUACAAGAAUCA